CUGGAGGUAUCAGAAGUGCGAAUGCUGACAUAAGUAACGAUAAAGCGGGUGAAAAGCCCGCUCGCCGGAAGACCAAGGGUUCCUGUCCAACGUUAAUCGGGGCAGGGUGAGUCGACCCCUAAGGCGAGGCCGAAAGGCGUAGUCGAUGGGAAACGGGUUAAUAUUCCCGUACUUGGUGUUACUGCGAAGGGGGGACGGAGAAGGCUAUGUUGGCCGGGCGACGGUUGUCCCGGUUUAAGCGUGUAGGUGUGUGUUCCAGGUAAAUCCGGUUC
rnacentral:rRNA from 1 species